rnacentral:rRNA from 1 species
GACGAACGCUGGCGGCGUGCUUAACACAUGCAAGUCGAACGGAAAGGCCCUGCUUUUGUGGGGUGCUCGAGUGGCGAACGGGUGAGUAACACGUGAGUAACCUGCCCUUGACUUUGGGAUAACUUCAGGAAACUGGGGCUAAUACCGGAUAGGAGCUCCUGCUGCAUGGUGGGGGUUGGAAAGUUUCGGCGGUUGGGGGUGGACUCGCGGCUUAUCAGCUUGUUGGUGGGGUAGUGGCUUACCAAGGCUUUGACGGGUAGCCGGCCUGGGAGGGUGACCGGCCACAUUGGGACUGAGAUACGGCCCAGACUCCUACGGGAGGCAGCAGUGGGGAAUAUUGCACAAUGGGCGGAAGCCUGAUGCAGCAGCGCCGCGUGCGGGAUGACGGCCUUCGGGUUGUAAACCGCUUUCGCCUGUGACGAAGCGUGAGUGACGGUAAUGGGUAAAGAAGCACCGGCUAACUACGUG